rnacentral:rRNA from 1 species
ACAGGCUUAACACAUGCAAGUCGAGGGGCACCUGGGAAGAGAGCUUGCUCUUUUCUGCCGGCGACCGGCGCACGGGUGAGUAACACGUAUGCAACCUGCCCGUCACAGGGGGAUAAGCGGAAGAAAUUCCGUCUAAUACCGCGUGAUAUCCCGAGGAGGCAUCUCCUUGGGAUCAAAGGAAGCGAUUCCGGUGACGGAUGGGCAUGCGGCGCAUUAGCUAGUCGGCGGGGUAACGGCCCACCGAGGCGACGAUGCGUAGGGGUUCUGAGAGGAAGGUCCCCCACACUGGUACUGAGACACGGACCAGACUCCUACGGGAGGCAGCAGUGAAGAAUAUUGGUCAAUGGGCUGAGGCCUGAACCAGCCAAGUCGCGUGAGGGAAGACGGUCCUAUGGAUUGCAAACCUCUUUUGCCGGGGAGCAACGACGCCACGUGUGGCGGAAGUGAGAGUACCCGGAGAAAAAGCAUCGGCUAACUCCGUGCCAGCAGCCGCGGUAAUACGGAGGAUGCGAGCGUUAUCCGGAUUUAUUGGGUUUAAAGGGUGCGUAGGCGGACUGUUAAGUCAGCGGUAAAAUUGAGAGGCUCAACCUCUUCGAGCCGUUGAAACUGGCGGUCUUGAGUGGGCGAGAAGUAUGCGGAAUGCGUGGUGUAGCGGUGAAAUGCAUAGAUAUCACGCAGAACCCCGAUUGCGAAGGCAGCAUACCGGCGCCCCGACUGACGCUGAGGCACGAAAGCGUGGGGAUCGAACAGGAUUAGAUACCCUGGUAGUCCACGCAGUAAACGAUGAACACUAACUGUCCGGGCCGAAUGAGGUCUGGGUGGUACAGCGAAAGCGUUAAGUGUUCCACCUGGGGAGUACGCCGGCAACGGUGAAACUCAAAGGAAUUGACGGGGGCCCGCACAAGCGGAGGAACAUGUGGUUUAAUUCGAUGAUACGCGAGGAACCUUACCCGGGCUCAAACGUCUGAGGACGGACCGUGAAAGCGGUCUUUCCCACGGGACUUCAGACGAGGUGCUGCAUGGUUGUCGUCAGCUCGUGCCGUGAGGUGUCGGCUUAAGUGCCAUAACGAGCGCAACCCCCAUCUACAGUUGCUAACAGGUAAAGCUGAGGACUCUGUGGAGACUGCCGGCGCAAGCUGUGAGGAAGGCGGGGAUGACGUCAAAUCAGCACGGCCCUUACGUCCGGGGCGACACACGUGUUACAAUGGCAGGUACAGCGGGAAGCCAUAUGGCGACAUAGAGCGGAACCCGAAAACCUGUCUCAGUUCGGAUUGGAGUCUGCAACCCGACUCCAUGAAGCUGGAUUCGCUAGU